CUGCUGCUCUCCCCAGGGGGGACACGGGUGUCCCCUGCCCUGGAGGGGGCUGUGGGUGCCGUGCCCUGCCCAGGGACACACACGCUUUUUCCACCCUUGCCUUUUCUUUUUCCCUUGUCACAUUUAUCCUCUCAAAAAGUUGAAUUAUAUUUGCAGGCACGGAAAGAUGGAAUUUCAGUGCCUGUUCCCCACUAUGUGGAAGGGGGAGCCGGGGGUUGGUGGCUGAACAGGAGCACAGCUCCAAGGAACAGGAAUUUUGUCUGGUCCAGCAGUGCCGGAUGCAGCGUAAAAACUUACAGCCACAAAUCCCCACCGCGACUGCGUUUCUUUGCUAAUGGAAAUAAAAGCACCAGGGAACAAACGUGGUCAGAGAUGAGGGAGAAUGAUCCCUGGGAUGUCCCAUCACCUGGAACUGAGAGCAAGCACAGCAAGGAGAGCACCCUUUGUACACCAAACCAAGGCUGAAGGUGAAGUCUAAGCACGUGUGAGAUGUUCUCACUUCUCCUGUACCAUAACACCUGGGACCUGUGGUCACAGAUUUACUUAAACCAUGUCUGGCACUGUACAAACCCAGCACAGCAAAAUCUUUCCUGCUGCAGGGAGUGGCCUCAGAGGUGCCUCUCACCACAGGUGGUGGUGGGGAUGGUGCCAGUCCUCGUGGAGGUGGUGUUGGUUUGCAGGAUCGUGGCAGAACUUGAAAAGAAUUUGUUUUCAUACCCUGUGCUUUGGGAAACUUGGUGUGGAGUAAGGAGGUGUCCUUGGCAAAACAGAAGAGAAGAGAACAAAACUAGGCUUCAGCACCAAAGUAGAGGUUUGGGGGAAGAAUCUUUCAUUGAA